UACGUAGGUGGCAAGCGUUGUCCGGAAUUAUUGGGCGUAAAGCGCGCGCAGGCGGUCCUUUACGUCUGGUGUGAAAGCCCACGGCUCAACCGUGGAGGGUCAUUGGAAACUGGGGGACUUGAGUGCAGAAGAGGAAAGCGGAAUUCCACGUGUAGCGGUGAAAUGCGUAGAGAUGUGGAGGAACACCAGUGGCGAAGGCGGCUUUCUGGUCUGUAACUGACGCUGAGGCGCGAAAGCGUGGGGAGCAAACAGG
rnacentral:rRNA from 1 species